rnacentral:rRNA from 1 species
AACGAACGCUGGCGGCAGGCCUAACACAUGCAAGUCGAGCGCCCUUUCGGGGGAGCGGCGGACGGGUGAGUAACGCGUGGGAAUAUGCCCUUCUCUACGGAAUAGCCUCGGGAAACUGAGAGUAAUACCGUAUACGCCCUACGGGGGAAAGAUUUAUCGGGGAAGGAUUAGCCCGCGUUGGAUUAGGUAGUUGGUGGGGUAAUGGCCUACCAAGCCGACGAUCCAUAGCUGGUUUGAGAGGAUGAUCAGCCACACUGGGACUGAGACACGGCCCAGACUCCUACGGGAGGCAGCAGUGGGGAAUCUUAGACAAUGGGGGCAACCCUGAUCUAGCCAUGCCGCGUGAGUGAUGAAGGCCUUAGGGUUGUAAAGCUCUUUCAGCUGGGAAGAUAAUGACGGUACCAGCAGAAGAAGCCCCGGCUAACUCCGUGCCAGCAGCCGCCGUAA